GGGUCGGUAUCCAAAUUGGUGAAGGAAGCGGUCCGUAAAACCGUGACGUCAGAAACGCUGCUGGUUCGAGUCCAGCCCGGCCCACCA
rnacentral:tRNA from 1 species